rnacentral:tRNA from 1 species
GGCGGGAUGCCGGAGCGGCCGAACGGGCUGGCUUGUGGUUCCAGUGGAUCCGCAAGGUCCCGUGGGUUCGAAUCCCACUCCCGCCG